CCUACGGGAGGCUGCAGUCGAGAAUCAUUCACAAUGGGGGAAACCCUGAUGGUGCGACGCCGCGUGGGGGAAUGAAGUUCUUCGGAUUGUAAACCCCUGUCAUGUGGGAGCAAAUUAAAAAGAUAGUACCACAAGAGGAAGAGACGGCUAACUCUGUGCCAGCAGCCGCGGUAAUACAGAGGUCUCAAGCGUUGUUCGGAAUCACUGGGCGUAAGGCGUGCGUAGGCUGUUUCGUAAGUCGUGUGUGAAAGGUGCGGGGUCAACCCGCGGAGGGCACAUGAUACUGCGAGACUAGAGUGAUGGAGAGGGAACCGGAAUGCUCGGUGUAGCAGUGAAAUGCGUAGAUAUCGAGAGGAA
rnacentral:rRNA from 1 species